rnacentral:rRNA from 1 species
UGGGGACUCACGGGAGACCGCCGGGGUCAACUCGGAGGAAGGUGGGGACGACGUCAAGUCAUCAUGCCCCUUAUGUCUUGGGCUGCACACGUGCUACAAUGGCCGGUACAAUGAGCUGCGAUACCGCAAGGUGGAGCGAAUCUCAAAAAGCCGGUCUCAGUUCGGAUUGGGGUCUGCAACUCGACCCCAUGAAGUCGGAGUCGCUAGUAAUCGCAGAUCAGCAUUGCUGCGGUGAAUACGUUCCCGGGCCUUGUACACACCGCCCGUCACGUCACGAAAGUCGGUAACACCCGAAGCCGGUGGCCCAACCCCUUGUGGGAGGGAGCUGUCGAAGGUGGGACUGGCGAUUGGGACGAAGUCGUAACAAGGUAGCCGUACCGGAAGGUGCGGCUGGAUCACCUCCUUUCUA